ensembl:lincRNA
GGUGGCCGGGAGGGCCAGUGUUCCCCCGUGUCCAUGAUGGGUCAGUAUUCUGCAUGGAUUCCAUCACAUGGGCAUCCCCUACCCACCUGCCUCACACUGAUAUGUGAGGCCUUGGUUGGACACAUGUCCUUCUCCUGUCACCCCAGAUGGUGAACCUGGAGGAAGACUUGUGUUGGGCCCCCACAGGCCCCAGGCCAGUGUCCGUCAGCCUGGUGCUCAUCCCCUGGUGUGUUGAAGCUCAGACCUUCCCUGGCACCCUGGUCUCCUGCACUGAGCUGUGGUGAGCACAUCCAGGUUCCGCUGGAUGCAUGCGUGGGUCAAUGCCCUUGGUUGGGUCAAUGAUGAGAACCUUAUAUUGUCCUGAAGAGAGGUGAUGACUUAAAAAUCAUGCUCAAUAGGAUUACGCUGAGGCCCAGCCUAGGUGAGAAUGUUGGAAGAGGACACUGGGAUCUCAAGAUCUCCAACAGGUCCACUGUAUUUUGGGCUGGAGACCUGGAGGUCCUGAAGGGCAUCUGGAAGGAGGCCCAACCCUGUCUCUGUGAUCUUCCUUGAGGCAACCCGGGCUACCUCUGUAGGCUUGGUGUUGGUGCUGCAGUUCUCUGGGGCCAGAGAACAUUGGUGGCUCCUUCCUGAGCCCCCAUUCCUCCCUUGUGUCUUUCAGUGAACUUUUCCUCCCAGACGGGCUCCCUGGAAUUGACUGGCAUAGAUGGUGAUCCUUGAGGAAGACUUGUGUUGAGUCCCCACAAGCCCCAGGCCAGUGUCUGCCAGCCUGGUGCUCAUCCCCUGGUGUGCUGAAACUCGGAUCCUCCCUGGCACCCUGGUCUCCUGCACUGAGCUGUGGUGAGCACAUCCAGGUUCUGCUGGAGGCAUGCUUGGGGUGGGGGUUGCCCUUGGUUGGGUCGAUGAUGAGAACCUUAUAUUGUCCUGAAGAGAGGUGAUGACUUAAAAAUCAUGCUCAAUAGGAUUAUGCUGAGGCCCAGCCUAGGUGAGAAUCUUGGAAGAGGACGCUGGGAUUCCUGGAAUGACUGCUGUAUUUUGGGCUGGAGACCUGCAGGUCCUGAAGGCCAUCAGGAAGGUCCAACCCUGUCUCUGUGCUCCUCUGUGAGGCAGCCCAGGCUCCCUGAGGGGGCUUGGUGUCGGGGCUCCUAUUCCUCAGGGGUGGGGCUGGUUGGUGGCUCCUUCCUGAGCCCCCAUUUUCCCCUUGUGUCUUUCAGUGAGCUCUUCCACCCAGCGGACCCCUUGGCAUUGACUGGCAUGGGUUAUAGAUAAGUGAAAUGAAUGACAGCAAUAUUAUAAGUCAUCUGGUUCCAAGAUGGCUGAAUAGGAACAGCUCCAGUCUACAGCUCCCAGCAUGAGUGACACAGAAGAUGGGUGAUUUCUGCAUUUCCAACUGAGGUACCAGGUUCAUCUCACUGGGGUUUGUUGGACAGUGGGUGCAGCCCACGCCAUGUGAGCUGAAGCAGGAUGGGGCAUCGCCUCACCUGGGAAGUGCAAGAGGUCAGGGAAUUCCCUUUCCUAGCCAAAGGAAGCUGUGACAGAUGGUACCUGGAAAAUCGGGACGCUCCCACCCUAAUACUGUGCUUUUCCAAUGGUCUUAGCAGACGGCACACCAGGAGAUUAUAUCCUGCACCUGGCUCGGAGGGUCCCAUGCCCACGAAGCUUCACUGCUAGCACAGCAGUCUGAGAUCGAACUGCAAGGUGGCAGUCAGGCUGGAGGAGUGGCGUCCAGCAUUGCUGAGGCUUGAGUAGGUAAACAAAGCGGCUGGGAAACUCGAACUGGGUGGAGCCCACCAUAGGUCAAGGAGGCCUGCCUGCCUCUGUAGACUCCACUUCUGUGGGCAGGGCAUAGCUGAACAAAAGGCAACCAAAACCGAAACUUCUGCAGACUUAAAUGUCCCUGUCUGACAGAUUUCAAGAGAGUAGUGGUUCUCCCAGCACGGAGUUUGAGAUCUGAGAAUGGACAGACUGCCUCCUCAAGUGGGUCCCUGACCUCCGAGUAGCCUAACUCGGAGACACCUCUCAGUAGGGUCCAACUGACACCUCAUACAGCCAGCUGCCCCUCUGAGAUGAAGCUUCUAGAAGAAGGAUCAGGCAGCAACAUUUGCCGUUCUGCAAUAUUUACUGUUCUGCAGCCUCCAAUGGUGAUACCCAGGCAAACAGGGUCUGGAGUGGACCUCCAGCAAACUUCAACAGACCUGCAACCAAGGGCCCUGACUGGUAGAAGGAAAAAUAACAAACAGAAAGGACAUCCAUAC